UGGUUAGGCAUUUUGACUGUGAUACUCAACCAAGUUGGGUGUUUGUUUUUCUGAUGAACCUUGGCUUGAAGAUACUCUAAAUUUGUAUUAUCAUUUCAGUUAUCUUUUUUGAUUUUGUCAUUUUUACUUCUGGCAAUUGGUUUGUUCCUCAAUACAGUGGAGAGUAGUUUCACAGAGUUGAAGUUAUUAAUUAUCAAUGCAUUUGUGAUUGUUUAGGAUAGGUCCAUGAUGUUUUGGAGUAAAGGAAUGACUUCAACCUCAGUUGUGCCUCAAAAAAGCCUUUGACUAGUUUGGCUGCUUUGAUCUGGGCAUGCAUACCUCUUUCGCUUGGGGAUUUAUGGAUCCAUUAGAUCGACAUAAAUGAAUAUUUGAAGGCUUUUACAUUUAGCAAGGAGGAUGACAUUAUGGUACUUUUCUUGCCAAGUCGAAGUGUAUGAUUUACCACUUCAUCUUAAAGGAUUGGGUAUCAGAAUGUUUUGAUGGCGAUGAACAAAGUGAUGUGGUCAUUAGGUGCGACUUUUUCCUCAUAAACACUUAUGAGUUCAUCAUUAUGAUACUUUUUCUCAAUGUGUUAAUCCUAGAGCAUUAAUAAAUUGGAGGAACAUGGUGCUCAAUAUCCCAACUAAAAUCAUGGCGGUGGGGGGUUUGGUGUUGGUAAGGGAUCGUCAGAUAAGCUUGGGAGCAAGAAAGGUACUAGCUGGGAGGGGAUUUGUUAUCUAGCUCUCUAAGACUAUGUUUGGUUGGAAAGAAAGAAAUUGAGUGGAUUUUUAUUUUUUUUAGAUGUGUUUGGAUGAAAGAAAAAUAAGAAGGAAAGAAAUGUUAUAAAAAGACAAUUUCAUUCUUGUAUUAUAAAAUAUAUUAAAAAAAUUGAAAAAAAAAAUUGGUAUGUCUCAUCCACUUUUUUACACCAUUCAACUUUUUUUCUUUAAUUUCUCUUCUCAACCAAACAAUGAAAAAUAAUUAUUUUUCUUCUAAUUUUUUUUCCUCCCUUUUCUUUCCUUCUCAUUUUCUCUCAAACAAACAUAACCUAAGAGCGAUUUGGAUGUUGAGUGUCUCCUACUUCUUGGCUUCAAUGAGGUUGGAUUUUCCUCUUAUGGUCAUAGGUAGUCAUACACAUAGUUUUGGAUCUUGAUAUUGUUUUUUUAGUUAAACUCCUUUUGAAAUGAGUCUAUUUCCAUAACCCUUUUAUGAGGGUUAUUAGGAUUGUCUAGGAUUGUAGGUAAUCUAUUUGAAGGUGGUUCGUGCUGAAACAAUCUAUAUGAUCUUUUUGUUGAGACUCUUCU